GACCAUUCCCAGGAUGAUCAACAGACAACCGAUCGUUUGGAAUCUACCGUACUCCAUGUUCACUGAAUCUCACUUGGGGCACAAAUGAUAAUGUGCUUAAUUUCGGCUGGUGUUUGCCAAUCCCGAUACCGAUCCCGAUUUCGUACCCAAUCCCGAUCCCGAUCCCGAUCUCAGUACGAAAACGAAACCGCAGCUUGAGACAGGUCAAGCGACGUUUUAUGAAUCAUUUCCAUUUUCGGGGGCCGUUGUCUUUGUCUUUGUCUCUGCUUCGGAUUUCACAUCCAAAGAGCGUUCACACCGAAAACUUCAAAGUGCACGACUUCUAGGAAAGCUCGAGCAAUAAACCCCUGCGAUGCCGACUGGGAAGAGUCUACACUUUCUUGGCUCCCCAGCUCGCCAGCUUAAAUAUAGAAUAUUUAAGUAGAUCGUUAAUCUGCGAGUCAAGUUCAAGCCAGAGAAAGCCAAGUCUGGGCAUUUAGUUAAGGUUUGAGCAUCCAUUAGACUGGUACACACAGGUGCUAUAUUCAGCGCAGUCUGCUGAUAUUUCAUACAACCAAACGUUCUAUUAUCCAGACCAAAAAAAGUAUCUGAAAUUGGAGCACCCAGCUCAGGAUUUAUAGCGUGGGUGUCUCUGGGAGUUCAAUGACUUUGUCACUCUGCAGUUUCCAGCGGUUGACAUUGACAUUGACCCAAUUGGUUAGUUUCGAUAAUCGGGUAUUAUUAAAUAUCAAUAUUCUUGUUUGUUCAACGCUGCACGAGCUAAGCUACGCUUUCAAAGAUCGCCGGACAGGUUCUCAAUCACAAUGGAGAAAUCAAUAACUUCUGCGCACAAAUCAAAUAAAAAUGUUGUCAUUUGCAUAUGCUAAGGCACAUCGAUAUGAGUUGUUGGCCAAUAACAAACGAAAGUUCUGUGUGCCAAACCAGUCUCUGAAAUCUGCGAAGACUAGGACUGGCUUUCUUUGUGACUCGCAUUGUUUAUUUUGGUCGAGCUCCGUUGGCUUACAGCCCAACCAGUGGGUUUAUAACUCACCUGGGAUUAUGCAAUGCCAGCCGGGUCAGAAGUCAGCGACGGACCCCCGAUGACGACGGCACAUUUAAAUAAAUUAUGCAAACUGGCUGGAAUCGAUGCGAUCAUUUA